UAGAAGGAGACAGGGCACGAUGCUUUUUCUAACUCUUGCUUCCAUUUAUAACUGUAACCUGUUACUAAUUUUUCUAUUUUAAGCACAGUGCGUAUGAAAAAGAAGACUACCAGUUUUCUAGAUGAUAUUCAUUAUGACCUGCUUGUAUGCACGAAAUUCUAAUAUAAAUCUACACAUUUGUAAUCCAUUGACAUAUGUACUGAAGGAUCGGAGCUAAUGGAUGAGGAAUAAAGACGGGCUGAUUAAGGUACUAGUUUUGGCACAGGGAACAUUUCUAAGCUUCUUCGGUGGGCAGCUUAAUACCGCCUCCCAGUUUCAUUUAGAGUCAGACAUGCAGAGAUUGUAGGAUGCCUGUCUGUCAUUUCACAAACUACAUAUACGGCCGCUGUACUCGUCAGUGCAGGUGUGUUCUGUGAGGGCUGUCCCGAUCUGUCGCCAAACUCUCGGAUAGUUGAGGGAACUGAACCGGCUGAGGCGCGCAGAACUGUUACUUUUACUGUUUGGGGAACGUUUAGAAGUCGAAGCAGUGACCGAAAGCAAAUAAAGACCUUCAGGGAUGGAGGUAGGAUAGCAGAGUGGGUUAUCUCCCGCCCAGCACCGAGUGUUUCCAUUCACGACCGUGGGACUAUCACAGAGCCACAUCUAGUCUUGUUAAACUACUGUUCUGGUUUUGGUUUAUUCAUAGUAAAUAUCGGCUUCAUUGUUAGUGCUUCUGAUACGUAUUCGUGUAAUCAUUCACAAAACAAAUGGUAGUUGCGCUGCGGUGAAACGGCGUGGACACGCAUGUUUCUAACUGUCCAGCUCUGUGUUGUCUGUAACUCCAGUGACGCGAUCGAGCAAUAAUCUGAGUUUAUGCAUGUGGAGCUCCACCUCACUGCUACUGUGGCCCUCAGCGGAGCUGGGAGCGCGCACGCUCCUGUGUUUCUCACCAGCGUCGUCACGGUGGAGGCAGGCUGCUGUGCCUGUGCUGACCCUCGCGCCUCUCUUCUUCUUUAACCGAGUUUUCUUUAAUGUCUCAGUUUCGUCGCGCCGUGUACCCGCUGGUACUGUAGUACUGAGUGAUGCCGAGGGGACGCUGGUGAUUUCCGCUCAGUUUGUUUCUGAGCAGCUCCAUUUCAAACAAAGGCUAACAGCGAGCGACACGGCGCAGGGUGUUCUACAGGUACACGCUAAUGUUCCACGACUCUAAUUCAAACAGCUGGCGCGCGAGCCGUGCUCGUGGAGCUGUGCAUGGCCGUCUGCAAGCCGACUCGCGCGCUCCACGAGGGGUGGAAGCCUUCCUUUCCUCUCACCAGGUGCCAUUCUAGGUUGAAACUCUUAGGGGGGCUCAGCUCCCAGUCAUAAUGUGCUGUUCAUAAUAUGCUCUUUGCAAAUGUAAUCAGCCCUUCUCACAUCAGCAAACCUCAGUUCAAUUGAAUAAUCAUUACAGUGUUACCUUCAAAAGCAGCCUAAUUAGUUGGAUAAUCUAUUGUAGUGUCUAAGAAUAAUUCAGAGUAAGUAGAAAUUUCAGUCUAAUCCACCCGUUUUAAUGUGGAGCCUUUAGUUAUCAAACCCAAGGCAAAGGCUCAGUGUUUUAAGAACUAUUUAUGGCAAUCAGAUAAGAUGAGAGACAUGGAGAUUAUUUUAGUCUCUUAACCACACAGAGGCAGUCCAACAACUCAUCAAGCACUUAAACUAGCAUACAGACACUGGAAAACCACUCCAUAGACCUGGAGUGGCAGGGUGCAAACGCGCUUUUUAUUACGCAAACUCAGCACAGAGCAUCAUGUACCCCAAUUUCACGAGUGGAGAAUAGAUUUGUAGUCCGUCACAUCAACAUAGGGGCAGCUGUCCUGUUCAGCCAUGUUUAGAAUGAAUCCUGUGAAAUGCUGCAUUCAUGUAAAUAUGCUCUGUUUAGAGUGUGCUACUGGAAAGCAGAGUGAGCGUCCAUGAAAGGCACCGAAAACUACUUUGUGAAAAAUAACUUUUGUUUUUCCAGCCAACUGCAACUUAAAGCGUCGAAGCACUGUGUUUGUAAACGAUAACUGGCAUCCCAUUUCCACAAAGGUGAGGACAGGAGGGAAAAACCCGAGAGGUUUUGCGCUCAUGUCUACUGACAAAAAUAUUCACUUUGAGUAUUUGUUUUCUAUUUGUUUUAGGCAUAGAUAAAUAAUGAUGAUGCAGUGAUUAGUGUUUUGAAUCUUUUGGUUUGUGGUGAUGACAGGCUGGUGCCUUUCUCUGUGGUGUUUCCUUAUUAUUUUGAGGAAAGCUGAAAUGUGGAGAUCACGGUUGUUGUUUUCAAGGCAAACUGCCAUGACUUAAUGAAAUUGUACUUCAGAUACUUCAUUAUCUGACAGUUUGUAUCACUAUUGGAAUUUUUUAUAAAGUCACCCAGCUGUGCAUAGGAGUACAGCUAAAAAGUUAAUAUUAAUACAUUUUUGAUUUGCUUUUUCUCAUUGCUUUUUUUCCUAGUAUUUUUUUGUUGUUGUUUGUUUUUUGUUUCUACACAAAAACAAAGAACUAUAUUGAGAACAUGCAUCUUAGGUCAUACAAAUGCUACAGUACUUUAGAUCAUACUAAACCAGUUAAAACCAUGUGAAAUGGUCAUUUUAUUUUGUUUUAAUUCAUCAUGGCAUGACUUUGCAGAGAAAUUGCAAAAGGCAGUCUUCCUUCAGUGGAAGGAUAAAAUGAUGUGGUUUAAAAAUGCCAUGUGGCUGCUUUCCUCCUCCGUGCACAGUUCAGUCCAUACUUUCAUGGCAUGUAUGGUUUUUUUCUGGACUAUGAUGAGCAAACCUGGAUGCAGCUGGAGAAGCUUCAGCUUAAGUGGUUAUUGUUGGCAUUACUGUGAUUCUUAUAGGAGGUGCACUGAUUUGAGAUUUCUCAGAGAGUUUGCAGAAUUGUCGUUAGACUGAAAUAGUUUAAUGAUUCCCCACAUUACACUGAACUCUUGCAAGUCUAGAAAAGGAGCUGUUGGACAGACAUCAGUUGAGUGAACACAAGGAGAGAUGAGUCCUCCGUCACAGAUGGUGUGGUCAGUGAAGAUGGUCACCUGCAUCUUCAAGGUCAUUGGAUCUCCAACCCACAUCCACUGCCACUGUACGGGGAUGUUGGGACAAUGUAAAAGACUUUCUUCAGGCACUUACAUUUGAAUCACCUAAAUCUAUGACAGUCAUUUAGAAAGUAAUGCCAGGACCUUCACAUCCUUAAUGCAUUACAACAGACCAAGCUUGUGUGUUUAAAUGCAAAACAAAUGUGGUGUUAGAGCUACAGACUACACUGAACAUUUGAUAGAUAGAUAGAUAGAAAUUGAAACUAGGACUUUGUUUCAUUAUACGGUUAUUAAAGCUUUAAAUUGUGUAACAAAUAAAUAUGAAAUUUACAUUUGGUAAUAUUUAAAAUAAAAUUCAAUAACACAGGCUACUAUAGCAGCAGUAUACUUGUUUGUUGUUCAGCAGAACAGUGUCCAGUAUGUUGGCUGAUAUACUUUUUUGCAUUUGAAAAUAAAAGUUGGGCUGAUUUUAACUACAUUACGAGAAGUGUUUUUAAUUAUACUUACAGUGUUUAUAUCUGAGUGUUGUUGAACUAGAAAUCUCUUAAACUCAAGGAAUAUAAAAAGUAAUGUGAUUUUAGUUGCAUUCAGUUUGUAUGUAGACAAAUUAAAAAUAGUAACUUACCACAAAUUGUUUUUUGUUUUUUUUUAAAUAUAAUUGAUCUUGAAAUCUUUGUCAUUGACUAAACACUUACUCUUGCUCAGAAAAUCCAAGAUAUUCUUAGUGCUGUGUAGUCACAAUGAAGAAGCUGUCCUAAGUUGGUGAUCUUAAGUACGCUUAUUUCUUUUUUUGAGGCAACAAGCUUGCAUAUUUUUUUAAAACUCUGUAAGAACUAAUUAUGACCAAUGUACUCAUAAUGAAUAAGUUGCCCUAACUUGGUUAUUUUAAAUAAGCUUUUCGUAGGGCUUUUUUUUUGUUUGUUUUUUUUAGGCAACAAGUUUGCAUAUUUGAUUACAUUUCCUUAAGUUUUGUGAACUAAUUAGAUUUUACAGUCUAUCCACUCCAAUGUUGAAAAGAUGGUGCAGAAAGCUACAUCUGGUCAGGGAAGAGUUGGCCAGAUUUGUAAAAAAAUGAAGUGGCUGCAGUGGACAGGUGCAAGGAUAUCGAUGGUUACACCCUGUGCAAUAUAGAGGAUGUAGGUUGUGUCAGAAGAUGGUCGAUCAAUUUGUUUCACUAACUCAACUACACAAGACAUUUUGUAGAGGGUAUAGGAGCUGUGGAAGCUAGCCUGUAAACAACUGUAAUCUGCACAUUUUGUUUAAAAAAAAACAAAAGAAAACAAAAAUACUCCUCCGUACUGUAACGCUCGCCCACAUUUGUAACAAAAAAUAGACCUGCGAUAGAAACGUAUUUAGAAGCAUGCAUGUGAGUAAAAAGUACGACAACAUAAAGCCCAUGCAGAGCCCAGUGUUUCAACAGAAAGACUGAUAACACAACAGAAGCAGUGAUGAUAAUGUCACAUGUUAACGUUGGCUUGGAGUCUGUCUACACUGUGCACUACAAAGGGCAAAGAGGAGACGGCUGGAGUGAAAACUUUUUUCUAGCUGUAAUGACCAUUAAAACCUUCACUGGGUAAAGCUGGCAGGAGCCCUUCAUCAAAGAACCUGAUCAACAAACUCCAAUGUAAAGAAAAGCAAACUCUGUAGCUGCUCCAUCCACGGCUCUUUGUUUUACACAGCAACAAAUCUACAGUUAAGCUACAGACGUACGGCUACAUUAAAAUAUGCAGAUGAACUGUUCACUUAGUCUGAUACCACGUUUAGAUUAGGCUGUGGCAGGUGACCUGCAACACCUGCAACUCCAACACCUGAGUCUAAAAGGGGCCAUGAGGUGUAGCUUUUGUAACAUUAUUUUUCAGAUUUAAAGUGAAAUAUUAUAAAAUACUGUGUUAAUGAAAUUGUUUUAAUAUUUAAAAAUAUAAAAUGAAAAGCUUUUUUUCCCCACAGACCAAUAAAAAUGUUGUGGAUCAUGAGCCACUGACCUGGGGCUGUUACGUUGCACCAAAUGAUUACUGACAUUAAUUAUUAACAUGUACAGCAUCAUAACGUUUGUGUUCAGCAGGAAAAAAUUUUCAGAAUGUGCGUAUGCUCACUUUUCUUCACCGCUGCUACCACAUGCUCCUUUAAAGGCUAAAAGACACAAACUCACUCAAUCAUUUUGCACAUGUAAACAUGCAGACACACACCUGCACAAAAUCACAUACUCAUGAACACAUACCUAAUCUAUGUCAUCCAGCAGAUACAACACUGUCAGAACCUUUUCCCCCUGUUAACGUAAGAAAGCCAGGUUAUGUUGCAUGUAUACCUUAUUUCAUUUGACAUUACAGUACUUUAGAUCUUUUAUCUAUUUUUGCAUUUAAGAAAAUGUUUUCUUUAAAAAACUACAUUAGUUUUUUGACAGAUGUUGUAUUUAGUUAAACUUUAAAACAAUGCAAUUUAUAUUUACCUUUUUCUCCUUUUCGCUCAAUUUUCUCUUUCUAAACUAAAUAUUCGUUCCUAAAUAAUUGUCUGAAACCAUAAAGUGAGUCAUGCUGAGAUCAGACUUGGUCAUUAGGUGAUCUCGUUUAAUCAUGUGCUCUUCCUGCAUUCAUAAAAGUGGGCCAGUAUGUCUGAGAAUAUGUUUUG